GAUUAAAUAAUUUAGGAGAGUAAGGGAGAAAUUGAAUUUGGGCCUUUCUUGGGCCAAAUUCGUUGCUACUUUUGGGGUUUAACCCAAUUCCCAUUUUUGUAUACAUCAGCUGUAUAUUCUUGUAUACGGGUCGGAUUUUGACCAAUUUUCCUGUAUAUUGAACCGUAUACCAAAUGUAUACAAUCCAUUUCUUCCCCUGCGACCUGUAUUUCCGUUUUUAGUCACGUAUUUGUUGCACUGAUAUGUAUAUCAGUGUAUACAUGAUGUAUUUCAGCCUGUUUUCAGCCUUUGGGACCUGUAAUGCAACUCCUCUUUCAACUGUUUCAGCUUCCGAAAUUCAAACAGGGAUGAAGGCCGACUCAAAAUGCAACACGGAUGUGGACAAUAGAGUCCAAGAGACUUGGUUGAUAGAUUUCCCAGGAGAAAAACAAAACAAAGCAAAAAAUAAGGACUAUUAGCAAUUUUAUUUUAAGAAAGUAACAGGCCUUAUUGAUAAGAAAUCCAUGGAACAUAUUUAAAAGAGGCAAGAAAAUAUUAUCUUGUAAUCAAACAAAUGAGAGUAGUAAUACAUGCCAUUUAAAAAAGUAUAUUUAAUAUUAGAGCACAACACAACUCUUGUGACCUAUUUUAAAUAUUGAAAUAUUAGCAAAACUAUAUUCCAACAUCUUCAAAACUUAACAAGAAAACAAUCACAUGAUUGCCGACUUGAAUGCAGUCCUGAAAAAAUGCAUUAAGAGAUAGAGACUUAGCAAGUGCUUCCCUUAAACAGUGAAAAGCAACAAAGAGGGUUCAUCUAAGUUUAAAACAUGCAAGAUUAGUAUAGCUACACUAAUUAUAGAAUUUAAAGACAAUCAAAUUCAUAUACUAAAAGAACUACAACUAAACUGAUAAUCAUUCUUACCACAAGAGCUACUACCUCAACAAACCCAAAUAGUCGAACAUCACAAUAUAAUCAACUAUCACGUAUUUAACCAAAUCAAGAUUAAUUUCAAGACAUAAGCAGAUUAAUACAACUUAUAAGAAACUUGGACCAUAUGAUGAACUAAAAAGAGGACAAUCAAAAGAGAAAAUAGGUAGUAAAUCAAAGAGAAAACAAUAGAUUGAAGUAAGCCUAGAAUCUGGAAAGCAACAGAACUUCACAUCUUUUAAAAGCUCAACUACAUAUAACAAGAAUUUUCAACUAAAAUUUAGACCAAAUGGAGACAUGAACUUGAUUUGAACAUGACAUGCUAAUUAGUAGAACAUUCAUAGAGUUCGAUCGUGGGGGCAAACAAGUUGUGACAUAUUAACAUCAAUAGGCUGCUUUAUCAUGAAUCUUGAGGCUACAAUUUCCAACAUAAUAUCCAAAUAGAAAGCUUUAGGAAAUACACUUCAUACACAAACAGACUAAACACACAAACUUGGACUAAAAACGCCUAUUAUCCAACAUCAACGAGAAAAAUAACAUGUAAGACAAACAGAGGCAUUUGGAAGGGAUAAAAUAGACAGAAAAUUCAUAAGGGGAGAUUGAAAACCCCAUCCUAUUCCUAAACACAAUGUUAACUAACAAAUGAAUUAAGAUCAAAAGGAAAUUUACCUUUUUCGGCGCAGCGACUGAAACCAUGAGCUGAAACGAGCGAUAUCACCACCACAAGUGAGAUUCCGACAAAGCUCCGAUGAAUUUCAGUAAGCGGCGAACGAAAAUAAAUAGAAACCUAUUCCUCCAUAUUCAGUGAGUAAUUAUUGUCUUCCCUCCCCCUCCUUAACACUGAAAGAGCAGGGGUAUUUUUAGGCUGAAUUGAGAAGGAAACGGGCAGAAAAUUCGGAUGAUUUUGAAUUCAAAAUUCGAAUUCUCUUUGCUCUUUUCAAGGCAAUAGUGGAAGAGAUUCAGAAAUCCCCGAAAAGAGGGAAAAAGGGGAUGGCGACGUGAUUGCUGCUGCAAGUGCCACUGUUUUUUCGGAUUUGCUGGGAUUUGGACGCUGCUUGCUGGAGAAAUAGACGUUGGCGUACAGGGUGGGGUCGCUGGGUACUGUACUGCGAUUUGAGUUUCUUCGCGUGAAGAAGAACGUGCAGGGGUCGGGUC
rnacentral:lncRNA from 1 species